rnacentral:misc_RNA from 1 species
CCUCUGUGAACCGUUGACCUCCGGGUUAAUAAUCAAACAUCAGUGUAACGAACGUAAGAGUAUCUUAACGAAACAAAACUUUCAACAACGGAUCUCUUGGCUCUCGCAUCGAUGAAGAACGCAGCGAAAUGCGAUAAGUAAUGUGAAUUGCAGAAUUCAGUGAAUCAUCGAAUCUUUGAACGCACCUUGCGCCUUUUGGUAUUCCGAAAGGCAUGCCUGUUUCAGUGUCAUGAAAUCUCAAUCUAAUAUGUUUUCUGAACAUGUUAGGCUUGGACUUGGGCGUCUGCCAGUGAUGGCUCGCCUCAAAUGACUUAGUGGAACAUCCCACAUCAGUGUUAGACGUAAUAAGUUUCGUCUCUCCUUGUGGUGAUGACUGCUCAGAACCUGCCAUCGCGCAUCUUUUGACUUUGACCUGAAAUCAGGUAGGGCUACCCGCUGAACUUAAGCAUAU